rnacentral:rRNA from 1 species
GAGUUUGAUCCUGGCUCAGGAUGAACGCUGGCGGCGUGCUUAACACAUGCAAGUCGAACGGGGUACCCUUGACAGAGGCUUCGGCCAAUUGAUAGGAAUACCUAGUGGCGGACGGGUGAGUAACGCGUGAGGAACCUGCCUUGGAGUGGGGAAUAACAGUUAGAAAUAGCUGCUAAUACCGCAUAAUACAGCGGAGUCGCAUGGCUCUGCUGUCAAAGAUUUAUCGCUCUGAGAUGGCCUCGCGUCUGAUUAGUUUGUUGGCGGGGUAACGGCCCACCAAGACGACGAUCAGUAGCCGGACUGAGAGGUUGGCCGGCCACAUUGGGACUGAGACACGGCCCAGACUCCUACGGGAGGCAGCAGUGGGGAAUAUUGGGCAAUGGGCGCAAGCCCGACCCAGCAACGCCGCGUGAAGGAAGAAGGCCCUCGGGUUGUAAACUUCUUUUAUCAGGGACGAAGAAGUGACGGUACCUGAUGAAUAAGCCACGGCUAACUACGUGCCAGCAGCCGCGGUAAUACGUAGGUGGCAAGCGUUAUCCGGAUUUACUGGGUGUAAAGGGCGUGUAGGCGGGGAAGCAAGUCAGAUGUGAAAUUCCAGGGCUCAACCCUGGAACUGCAUUUGAAACUGUUUUUCUUGAGUGAUGGAGAGGCAGGCGGAAUUCCGUGUGUAGCGGUGAAAUGCGUAGAUAUACGGAGGAACACCAGUGGCGAAGGCGGC